rnacentral:rRNA from 1 species
UGGGGAAUAUUGGACAAUGGGCGAAAGCCUGAUCCAGCGACGCCGCGUGUGUGAAGAAGGCCUGCGGGUUGUAAAGCACUUUCGAUGGGAACGAAAUGUGCCGGGCUAAUACCCCGGCAAGCUGACGUUACUCAAUGAAGAAGCACCGGCUAACUCUGUGCCAGCAGCCGCGGUAAUACAGAGGGUGCGAGCGUUAAUCGGAAUUACUGGGCGUAAAGCGCACGUAGGUGGCGACGUAAGUCGGGUGUGAAAGCCCCGGGCUCAACCUGGGAAUUGCAUUCGAGACUGCAUUGCUGGAGUACGGAAGAGGAAGGCGGAAUUCCCGGUGUAACGGUGAAAUGCGUAGAUAUCGGGAGGAACAUCAGUGGCGAAGGCGGCCUUCUGGUCCAGUACUGACACUCAAGUGCGAAAGCGUGGGGAGCAAACAGG